GAUGAACGCUGGCGGCGUGCCUAAUACAUGCAAGUCGAGCGAACAGAUGAGGAGCUUGCUCCUCUUACGUUAGCGGCGGACGGGUGAGUAACACGUGGGUAACCUACCUAUAAGACGGGGAUAACUUCGGGAAACCGGAGCUAAUACCGCAUAAUAUAUUGAACCACAUGGUUCAAUAGUGAAAGACGGUUUUGCUGUAACUAAAAGAUGGAUCCGGGCGGCAUUAGCUAGUUGGUAAGGUAACGGCUUACCAAGGCAACGUUGCGUAGCCGCCCUGAGAGGGUGUUCGGCCACACUGGAACUGAGACACGGUCCAGCCUCCUACGGGAGGCAGCAGUAGGGAAUCUUCCGCAAUGGGCGAAAGCCUGACGGAGCAACGCCGCGUGAGUGAUGAAGGUCUUCGGAUCGUAAACCUCUGUUAUUAGGAAAGAACAAAUGUGUAAGUAACUAUGCACGUCUUGACGGUACCUAAUCAGAAAGCCACGGCUAACUACGUG
rnacentral:rRNA from 1 species